ACUCCUUUACAAACCCUAAUCUCCACUCAUCUGUGCACCUCCGUAGACUCGAGGAUGGCGUGGACAACUGUCUAUACCUUCCUUGUCUAUGUUUUCAAUACACACGUCUUUUUAUCUUUGAAUGCGUCAUGUAUAAUGAAAUACAACUUUCAACAACGGAUCUCUUGGUUCUCGCAUCGAUGAAGAACGCAGCGAAUUGCGAUAUGUAAUGUGAAUUGCAGAAUUCAGUGAAUCAUCGAAUCUUUGAACGCACAUUGCACCCUUCUGGUUUUUUCCGAAGGGUAUGCCUGUUUGAGUGUCAUGAAUCUAUCAACGUAGUCAAGCUUUGCCUUGCUAUGAUUGCAUGAAUGAAGGUUGCUGGAAAUCUUGUCAGCUCCUUUUAAAUCGAUUAGCGGAAAAUGCUUUCAGCUCUGGUUUGAUAAAUUUUUCUAUGCCUUUGCUGAUGCUAUCAUCUUUCGCUUCUAAUUGUCCGUUUGGACUGUCUUCCAAAGACACGUCUUGAUUUUGACCUCAAAUCAGGUAGGACUACCCGCUGAACUU
rnacentral:rRNA from 1 species